rnacentral:rRNA from 1 species
UACGGAGGGUGCAAGCGUUGUCCGGAAUCACUGGGCGUAAAGGGCGCGUAGGCGGCUCAUGAAGGCUGUGGUGAAAGUCCGGGGCUCAACCUCGGAUCGGCCGUGGCGACUCGUGGGCUGGAGCACUGUAGAGGCGGGUGGAAUUCCGGGUGUAGCGGUGGAAUGCGUAGAGAUCCGGAAGAACACCAGUGGCGAAGGCGCCCGCUGGGCAGUGGCUGACGCUGAGGAGCGAAAGCGUGGGUAGCGAACAGG